rnacentral:rRNA from 1 species
UACGGAGGGUGCAAGCGUUGUCCGGAAUCACUGGGCGUAAAGGGCGCGUAGGCGGCUCAUGAAGGCUGUGGUGAAAGUCCGGGGCUCAACCUCGGAUCGGCCGUGGCGACUCGUGGGCUGGAGCACUGUAGAGGCGGGUGGAAUUCCGGGUGUAGCGGUGGAAUGCGCAGAUAUCAGGAGGAACACCGGUGGCGAAGGCGGGUCUCUGGGCCGUUACUGACGCUGAGGAGCGAAAGCGUGGGGAGCGAACAGG